CCCUUAGAUGUUCUGGGCCGCACGCGCGCUACACUGAUGCAUUCAACGAGCCUAUCCUUGACCGACAGGUCCGGGUAAUCUUUGAAUCUGCAUCGUGACGGGGAUAGAUUAUUGCAAUUAUUAAUCUUCAACGAGGAAUGCCUAGUAGGCGCAAGUCAUCAGCUUGCGUCGAUUACGUCCCUGCCCUUUGUACACACCGCCCGUCGCUCCUACCGAUUGGGUGUGCUGGUGAAAUGUUCGGAUCGGCCGUUUGUCGCGGUUUCCGCGGCUCGUGGCUGAGAAGUUCAUUAAACCCUACCACCGAGAGGAAGGAGAAGUCGUAACA
rnacentral:rRNA from 1 species